CAAGACAUUGAAGGGCGUGUCACACUGUCCCAUUUUAAUUUGUUAAAAUUCUUUAGAACUUCCAGAGAGAUGCCAGCACAUCUAGUAACAGAUGACUGCUACCAGCAACUGAUUGACAGUCUUCAGUCUGCAGUCCCAAAAUCUCUCUCUAUAAUCGGAUCUCUAAGAAAUACCCUCAAAGGACGGCUGAAGGCUAACUUCUAUGUGGACAAAUGGCCAGAAUUUACUGCUGUAGUCUGUCAAUAUAUUUGGCCAAGACGCUCAGAUGUGUCGGACAUUGGUGCAUAUGCCACAUCUAGUGAGGCUCUUCUCACUGUGCUCACUGAAGCGGAUCUGGUCACCUGGGGGAAGAGACAGGAGUUCCAACGUAUAGAAGACAAGCAUGCUGAUUAUCUACUUGAGCAUCUCAGACCUAUCGGAUCCACUUCUCAGAAUGAUGGAUUGAAAUGUAUCCACGAAAGAACAUCUGUUGUCUUGAAUGAUGUAAUGGAUAUUCGUCGGAAUGGGUCCCUGCAAGGUGCUCUCGAUGUGUUAGCUGACAUGAUUCCAGAGGGGUAUGUUCUCGGAAGGCUCCAACCACAUCAUGCUGAGAUGGUGGCUUCUCAAUGGCUGAGACUACACGGCUGGCCUAACAAAGAACCUUACUUCAGAGAACUUAUCAAGAGCUAUUUUUGUCCAGCAAUUUAUUCGUUGGACAAUUUGGAAAAGCCUGCUUCGUAUAUAGUACAAUUUCCAUGCAACCAGACAUUUGGUUAUACUGAUGAUAAAUACAAGGGACAGCACUUAGUUUUAGUGCCUGGAACGUAUUGUUACAUCUUUCAGCUGGCAAUGGAAGGAUUAUACCCACUCGAAGAAGAAGUAUCUGAUCCUCGCAGGAUCCCUGUUUUCACCAAACUGAAUGGAACUCUUUCAGGCUACAAUGUUAAAGACUUAGCAACAAGAAACACCAUAGACAUAGAUUCUAAGUUGUAAUGUUUGUUCAGUAUAGCUUUAAAUGUUUUGUUGUGGCAAGUGCAAGAAUGUCAUGAUCACUUAUCACUAAUGGCAUCUACACAAGCAUGCCACAUCCUGAACAAAAGGAAUUGUGAUGGUGCUGUUUGGUGCAGUCCUGUGGGCCUGGGGUGCCCUUCUGACACUUCCCUUAUGCCCCAGAGCAGAACUGGUGGCUGAACGCAGCCUGAGAAACCAUGUCAUUGAAAAGAGAUUUGAAUCCGAUAUGGACACAGAUUUUACGGUAGAGUCCAUCAUCGUGGCUGAGGAUGUGGGUGUAUUGACGGACACAUUGUGUGUGAAAGGGGGUCCAAACAAGAGGAGCUUUGGUCUCUUCAGUACUCGAGGCUCAGCUGAACGUUGUUCUGGUGGACCCUGCCCUGCAGCUAUAGAGAGAGUCGACUAUGUUCGUGUGUAUGUGGAUGAGUUCAGGCCUCAUCCGGAAGAGCUGGUGUGUUUCGACGUGACUAUUCUUGACGACUCUCUAGUAGAGGGGAGGGAGUUCUUCCUGAUUGGUCUGCUCGACUUGCGUUGGGGGGAAGUGCUCUCCACAAUAUCCAUCACCAUCAUGGAUAAUGACAGUCCUCAGCUGUUGUCCGAUCGAGAGGUGGUGGCCGAGAAUGUGGGUGUGUCUCAGCUCUGUCUGACAGGUGGAAUCAUCGAGCUGCCACUGGUUGUGCAAACUAGCGGACCUGACCUUGAGGAGAUGACUGAGUUCAUUACUUCCUUUCCGAAUGAGUUGGUGUGUGUGAACUUCACUGUUGUGGACGAUGAGUUGUUUGAAGGACUAUUGGAGGUGGUGGGAAUAACGAUCAAGAGUGCUAACACAUCCAUUGGAAACUUCUCUGAAACUUUCCUGCUCUACAUUGGUGAUAACGAUGAAACUCCCCAGUUUGAGCAAAGCUCUUACACUGUGACUGAAGGAGACCCCCAGUUUCAGGUGUGUGUGGUCUUCACCACGGACUCGAAUAUGCAAGUGGAAAGCUCUCUGAUCUUCAGUAGCGAUGGAUCAGCUAAAAGUGGCCUUGACUAUGUUGAGGUGGCCCAAGCCUUCGUGAUCGGGUCGGGGGAGAGACGAUGUGUGAAUGUGACUAUUAUUGACGAUGACAGUGCUGAGAGAAUGGAAACAUUCACAGUUAGUCUCACCUCUGCAAACUCUGAGCUGCAACCGUUCCAAGCAACAGUGACAAUCAUGGACAAUGAUGUGAUCACGUUCGAGGAGAGUGUGUACAGCUCUUUUGAGGGGGAGAGCGGUGUGGAGGUGUGUCUCCGCCUGCCUAGUGGGCGGGGCACCAUGAGAGGCCUCCUCGUGACUGAGAGUGGGUCUGCUUUAGAGAGACUGGAUUAUUUCCCUCUUGGUUACAUCUUCUUUAACAUCAGUGACUCAGAGCGGAAGUGUUUUUUCAUCUACAAUUACCGGGACAAUCUCCCUGAGGGCAGGGAAGAGUUCACUGUACGAGUGUACACAUUUUUCUUUAGGAAUUUUGUCAUUGACGUCCGAACAGCACGAGUCAUUUUGGAGGAUGAUGAUUCCAGUGUGUGUGCCAAUCUCACUGUGCCAGAGAAUGGCAGAAUAGUGUCUUUCACGGAUGAGAAUAAUCCCGGCUCAGUGGCAGUCUACUCUUGUAUUUUUGGCUACCAGCUGGCUGGUCUCCAGGGGAACACUCGCACGUGUAUGCCAACAGGAGUGUGGAACGGGAGAGCCCCCACGUGUCAAGCGAUAAUGUGCCCUAUUCUGAGUGAUCCCCUGGACGGCACAGUGACUGUGUCUGGUCGAACCGUCCACUCAGUAGCCACCUACACUUGCAACACUGGCUAUCGACUUGAGGGUGAUGCACAGCGGUCGUGUCUGGCCUUAUCUGGUGGAGUGUGGAUUGGGAGCACCCCAGUUUGUACAUUAAUUGAGUGCUCCCUGCUGCUCCCCCCUCCCAACAGUAUGCUGACCCUCCCCUCGGUGAGGACGCCAGGAUCUGUGGCAAAGUACAGUUGUCUGAAUGGGUUGGUACUCGUGGGAAGUGCUGUAAGGAUUUGUCUGGACAAUGGUACAUGGAACCAGUCUGAACCUGUUUGUGUUGAUGCACUGAAUGAAGGAGCGUUAGUAGCACUGAGGCUAAUCAACAAUUCCCCACAAAUCAACGGAGGUACGGUGUCUGUGGAUUUCUCUGUCAGUGGGCCAGUGAACAAAGUAACGUGCUCUCUCGGCCAGAAAAUGGUAGAGGAAGAUUUUCGAUAUCAAAAGCAAGGAGGAAUGACGUUCACUGACGUAGCUCCUGGAGUCCACACACUAGAGCUAUAGUGGUCACAAGUCUUGUGUCCGAGCAGACGUCCAUUGUAAAACACUCCUUUGAGAUUGGCUCUCAAUCAAACUUUUGUGGCUUGCACUUGAUUAACGAAUUCAGGGGCGUAGCCAGACUUUUGACAUAGGGUUUCCUCUGAAAAACCAGCGGCGCGGUAGCGCCGGGAAAUUUUAGCCACGCCUACUUCCGGUGCCACACCCUCUUGAUUGGGGCACACCUACUGCUCAUUGUUUGUAAUGACUUUUUUUACAUGUUUGUGAGAAGCUAGCUAGACUAGCUAGUCUAGCUAGCUAUAGACAUUCUAAAAGGCAGGUGUCAAUUGUGUAUUGCUAGUCUAGCUGAGCACCAUUACAUUUACCUGAGAGGUUUCAUGUGGCUGAGAUUGUUCUAAACUUGUCCUUCCUGAAUAUCGAAUAAAGUUGUGCUUAGAGCUGAGUCUGAGAAUACUGGAGCAUGCAGGAUUGAUACUAGAACUUAAGUCUUGGUCUUCUUUGUUUGAGGUAGCUAGCUAGCUAGCUGAGACAAAGCUAGCCAAAGUGAAACGAUUCACGGUGCUAUCUCUACAUGAUUUGCAGCCACGUGCAUGAAAAGAUGGGCAGGGCUGCUUGAUUUCAAUUAUUGGGGAGCCCUGCCCAAUUUUCUCAGCAGCUCCUGGGGGGGUUUCUGGGCAACCAGGAAACAAUGGUAGCUACGCCCCUGACAUGGUGCCGUUGUGGAUACUCACAAACUGAGGGUGGAGUUUGGGGCUGUUCCAAUGGCCAAGUCUUAUCACUGUGAACUGGAUGACCAGUCUAGAUUGACUAAUCUUACUACAAGCAAAAUUUUGCUAAACAGUGAAAUCACAGACAAAUCUACCUGUGAAAAUAUGUCACCUUAAGGUAUACUAUACAGUCAUGCUAUGAAGUGUCAUGCUAAACUUAAAUCUAAUUUCCAAUGGCAGGUGUUAGUCCUGUGGAGUUGAGUGCACUAUAAGACCUAGACCAUACCUACUGAUGAUCAUGCACGACAAAGAUGAGUGUGAAUAUCGUAGACAAUUGCUCAUUAGCUUUGACAUUGAGAACAGUUGAGUUACAUUCACCAUUCACAGACGGCAAGUAAGACAAGACUUUAGAGUGCUGCAGUUAGAUAGCUUUGAGUAGCUAGUUUUAGAUAGCUAGUGCAACUAUUCAGUCACACACUGGUCUAUUAAACUUAGCUAGCUCGCAUGCAGCUGCUUGCUUAUUCCGGACACUUCACAUGCUGUAUAAAAAUCUGUUCCAAUUAUACCCGGACAAUUUCCAAAAUAAUUAUUUUUUGCUGUCCGAUAAAUUAAAAGAUAUACGGUACAUGAGAGGGGUACACUUGUAUCAUAGAUGAUACAGUACUGACGUGGAUGUGAAACGGCCUAGUAUCCGGAGGGGUCCACGGGAAUUGUCUGAAGCUAUCAUCGUAACGAGCAGAUUAUGUUAGAAACCCUGUAACUGUCAUGUUUAUAUAGCAACCAGAGCGUAGUAAACAGUGUUCCGUGUCUGAAAACUGGUGAAAACUAGUGUUCAAGCUGGCGCUGUGCUAAUGCCUCUCGCCAUGUUUUUGCUUUCGCUCAAAAGUAUUAGAGUGUUAUAUUAGUUUCUAUAAUGAAUUUUAUAUUAAAGUUAGCUUACCUAUAUAAAGUCACUGAGAAGAAAAGACUUAUUUAUAUGCAUCUAUUGUUGUUAUUUAUUGUAUUAUGUGGCUUACCAGGACCUCAAGAAAGAAGAAAAUUGAUUCUUCCAGGAUCUGUAGUUCAGUGUAUAUAAUAUCAGACCUGUGUACAUGCAUAUUGUUAUCUAUAUUGUUAUAUGGUGUUUUGUGGCUUACCAGGCCCUCAAGACAAAGAUGAUUCUGCCAGGAGGAUCUGGAUCUGGAUCUUGGUUUCUCACACGUGGGGAAUGAGCGCGCAUGCGCAUUACAUCCACUGGCACAGGAAUAAUAAAGGGUGUGUCCAAACAGAUCAAUGGCUACUGCUAGCUAGCUGUUUUAACAGAUAUUUUCUGAGUCUUGUAGCUAACAAAAAGCUAGCGCUUUAGUGCAAGGCUAACUCAUAUGUUGAAUAGAAAGUAUGUGCGGACAGAUGAUGCUAUGAAAGAUUCUGAAGAGACUGCAACAGCCUUCAAUGUGAGUCAAACUAGCCAUAACUCGAGAAAGAAGCUUUAGUUUGCUAAUCCACGAAUCAAAAUCCAAGAGAACGUGGCUAGAAGCCUAUAGAAGCUGUUAGUUUUCGUCGCAUUGCAACCGUUGAGCAGUUACAGCUGGAACAGACACACAGACACACAGACACACACACAGUCAGCUUUACCGUAUCCCUCGUGCGGCUACGCCUCGAGGCAUAAUGACCGGCACACAUUGAUACUUGCAGUGGGCUUGUAGGUAAGACUAGUUUCUCUAAGCUCAUGGGAGAAUAUCAUAUUUUAGCAUAAAUUUUCCUGUAAAAAUACUUUGUGUGAGAUUUUUGGCUUGGACAGUAAAUAUUCAGGUUACCAUUCAGUAGUAAUACUUGAAGUACACUGUAAACUACGAGGAGAAUCUAUGUUUGACAACUGUUAUGAAAGUUUAAGUGCUAUAGAAAGGGCUAAAGCAUGAGUUAGUUGCACUUUUUGCGUGAGAUUAUUUCUAAACCUGUUGAGCCUACUUUUUGCAUAUUUAGCUGAUGAAAACCUUCGUGUAUUGAUGCAGCAGGAGAAUCUAUUAACUAAGCAUACAGUAAAGUUAUUGGAAAAAUACAGCCUCAAGAAAAAUAUGUAAAAUCCAUGUACAUGUACUGUUAAACAAAAAUUAAUGCUACGUUCUUAUUACAACUACAAUUAUGAUUUCUAUCAAUAAGUUCACACGUACAUGUACAUGUCAUUAACUUUCCAAAUUGCAGUGUUGUCUUUCGCUGAGCUAAGAUAUCAAUUGCCAAAUGUUAGCUAAUUAUACUAUCAAGUGAAAUUUAUCCCAGGACCUACUCGAGUGCUACUUCUCUAGGCAACACCAUCGGUGAAGACAGCAUUAACGUCCAACCUCUUUUCAAGUGCCGUGUAUCUACACUUGUAUAGGAAUUUCGAACCGGCAAGUUGGAAUGUGUCUCUCUCACAGCCACUUUGUAAACGAUUAAGAAACAGUUUAUCAUGUACUAUAAAUUAAUACUCUCAAGACUAUUAUAAUAUUAGCAUGUACACGUACACGUACACGUACAGAUCAUCAACAAUUUCACCCGUUUGCUUAUCUCAUGCUAGUGUUAUGAGUCAGCCACACUUCUUUUGAUCUACAUGCAUGCUACCAACAUUGAGUGGCUUGCUUUUUGGAUAUAA